rnacentral:tRNA from 1 species
CAAGCGAUAAUUUAAAUUUUGUAGAAUUUUGGCCUUGGGUGCUGAAAGUGGGAGUUAAAUUCUUUCUUGCUUGA